AUUGAACGCUGGCGGAAUGCUUUACACAUGCAAGUCGAACGGCAGCACGGGGCAACCUGGUGGCGAGUGGCGAACGGGUGAGUAAUAUAUCGGAACGUGCCCAAUCGUGGGGAUAACGUAGCGAAGUUACGCUAAUACCGCAUACGAUCUACGGAUGAAAGCGGGGGAGUCGCAAGACCUCGCGCGAAUGGAGCGGCCGAUAUCAGAUUAGGUAGUUGGUGGGGUAAAGGCUCACCAAGCCAACGAUCUGUAGCUGGUCUGAGAGGACGACCAGCCACACUGGAACUGAGACACGGUCCAGACUCCUACGGGAGGCAGCAGUGGGGGAAUUUUGGGACCAAAUGGGGCGCAAGCCUGAUCCAGCCAUUCCGCGUGCAGGAUGAAGGCCUCGGUUGUAAACUGCUUUGUUACGGAACGAAACGGUACUGCCCUAAUACG
rnacentral:rRNA from 1 species